UACGAAGGGGCUAGCGUUGCUCGGAAUCACUGGGCGUAAAGGCGCACGUAGGCGGAUUGCUAAGUCAGGGGUGAAAUCCUGGAGCUCAACUCCAGAACUGCCUUUGAUACUGAGAGCUUGAGUCCGGGAGAGGUGAGUGGAACUGCGAGUGUAGAGGUGAAAUUCGUAGAUAUUCGCAAGAACACCAGUGGCGAAGGCGGCUCACUGGCCCGGUACUGACGCUGAGGUGCGAAAGCGUGGGGAGCAACGG
rnacentral:rRNA from 1 species